GGAGGGCAGGAGUCGAGUGUGUUUACUGGGGAGACGGCUUGUCACGGUGCCCUUGGUCUCUGCUGUUUGAUGUGCAGUGCGGCUAAAGUAACAGCUUGCUUCGGUUUAUUGUUGAUAAUGUCAAAGGGGUCUGUUUCAGAAUGGAAGAAUUGGUUGAGCAAAGUUGGAAGUCCAAGCUCUCGAAUUGACCAAGCACAUUUUUCAAAUGAGAAGGAGAUCUCCAAA